rnacentral:rRNA from 1 species
CCUACGGGAGACAGCAGUGGGGAAUAUUGCACAAUGGGGGAAACCCUGAUGCAGCGACGCCGCGUGAGUGAAGAAGUAUUUCGGUAUGUAAAGCUCUAUCAGCAGGGAAGAAAAUGACGGUACCUGAUUAAGAAGCCCCGGCUAACUACGUGCCAGCAGCCGCGGUAAUACGUAGGGGGCAAGCGUUAUCCGGAUUUACUGGGUGUAAAGGGAGCGUAGACGGCAGCACAAGUCUGGAGUGAAAUGCCGGGGCUUAACCCCGGAACUGCUUUGGAAACUGUGCAGCUAGAGUGCAGGAGAGGUAAGUGGAAUUCCUAGUGUAGCGGUGAAAUGCGUAGAUAUUAGGAGGAACACCAGUGGCGAAGGCGGCUUACUGGACUGUAACUGACGUUGAGGUUCGAAAGCGUGGGUAGCAAACAGGAUUAGAUACCCUUGUAGUC